UCUAAAUAAAAAGAUAAAAAGUUCCAUCCUCAAAGCUUCCCUUUUGCUAAAACACUUCCACAUCCCCAGUGUGUUGAUCAUCAGAAAAUCUCAACCUUGUUAUUAUAAUCUGAAAAUGAGAUGUUAAUAUCUGAAUCAAAUCUCUUAUAAAAACUCGAAUAGGGUGAUCUUGAAGUUAUUAGUAUAGAUUUGAAGGCGGGUUUGAGAACAAGGGUUAGGGUUUUUUGAUGAUUAUCCUCGUGUACUCUGGCCGGAUCAUCUGAUGGAAACGUUUCUGAAGCCAUUUCGAUCAGUCAAUAGAUCCAUUGCAACGAUUGUUUGCUCUUGAGGCAUAACCUGCUUUACUAUUGAGAAUUAGCCACAAGUAUGAUUAAUCAAAGGUCAGAAUUUUUUCUCCGUGGGUGCAUUUGAACAUAUUUCAACAUGCAUGACACAAAACAUGCAAUUCAAGAUAAACUAAAGCCAAAUUUGUACAGAGGGGAACUCAAGGCGCUUUGACACCAAUUUUGGGAAACAUUCUCUAGCUGCUGUACACAAACAAAGAAUGGCCGUUCACAGAUAGGAUGUUUACAGACACCCAAGGCGCUUUGUGUAUUUGUUUGGUGAAGCAACGAAGGUAAUAGUAAGUCUAUACAUGAAAUUUUACGUUCGCGUGAAUUUCUUUUGCGAACUUUACCAAUUACUAAUGAAUGGGUCGAUUUGAGUUUCCGCUUUACAACUGGGGUCAAAUAAAAAUUUAGCUAAAGAGGAACAGUCAAUAUGGGUUGAAAUUUGUCUAAAGUUAUCUUUAACUAAGUUAAAUGUGAUGAUAUAGUUUUGCCUUUUGGUAAUCAUAAUUAACCCAUUUAAUAUUAUUAAAGAUUGUAAAAUAGACAAAGGUUUUUGCAGGUAGCCCAACUUGAGAUUUCCCCUUUCAACCCAUUAACCGACCUGCCCAUAUUGACAAUUCUAAUAUUUUAUAAAUUAAUAUUUCCAUGAUGCAAUUAGAGGUUUAAAAUGUAAUUAGAUUUCACAUAUGGGUUUAACAAAAAUGCUCACUCUCAGAUGAGAUUAUGUGAGAGGGAUGCCCCAUGAUUUUAUAAUUUUAUUUUUAGUUAUUGGUCCUUGGCCACUCAAAAGAUUCCGAGAUGCAUAUAAAAGACUUAAAGAUUUAGAUAUGCAGUUCUUGAUUGUAGGAAUAUAACAUAAGCUUUUAUAACUUCUUUAAAAUCAAAUUAUAAUUAGUUAAAUAAUUAUGAACGUCCAAACAAAAACAAAGUUGAUUCUACUUUUUCUGAUAAAGAUAAUCAGAUGUAGAGCCAAUGGAUAAGGGCGGGUAGUUUUGUGGUAAGUAACAUGGUGUACUCGAUUAUCAAAAAGUUGAAAGAUGUGCUCAAAAAUGUGGGUUUAGAUGGUAUCAUUAGUUUUCGAGUUUUGCUUUCAGUUCAAGUUUUUCGGGUCAUUUUAAAAGGUGUGGAUAGAGUCCACAGUAAUGUUAGAAUAAUACUUGGUUGGAAGAUUGUUUACAUAGGUGACACUAGGCGAUGUCUUAAACUAAUCGAAGCUUCUCAAGGAGCAACAUUGCUUAUACAUGAGGCGACUUUUGAGGAUACGUUGGUGGAUAAAGCCAUUGCAAGAAACCUCAACACAACAGGAAAAGCCGUUGAAACGGGGAACUCUUCAAGAGGCAUAUUAAGUCAUCCUUACGCAUUUCAGUCAAAAAAUCCUUAAAUACAAGUGUCCAAUGAAAGUUACAUGCAUAAAACAUGCAUUGCUUUCUUACGGCUUUUAUUUUAGUUGUCAUCAGUUUGGUGGUUGUUUCUUCUCAUGUGUUUUAGUGACAUCUAUAAUUUCAUCUUCCUUAAUUAUUAUUAUAUAUGCAUUUUAGUAGUGAUUAAGAUCUGUAUUAUAUAUAAAUUUGCGGUAUGAAUAAAGCAUGUUUUUGAUAA